rnacentral:rRNA from 1 species
AUUGAACGCUGGCGGCAGGCCUAACACAUGCAAGUCGAACGAGCGGCGGACGGGUGAGUAAUGUAUGGGAAACUGCCCGCUGGAGGGGGAUAACUACUGGAAACGGUAGCUAAUACCGCAUACCAUCGGAUGUGCCCAGAUGGGAUUAGCUAGUAGGUGUGGUAACGGCUCACCUAGGCGACGAGCCCUAGCUGGUCUGAGAGGAUGAUCAGCCACACUGGGACUGAGACACGGUCCAGACUCCGACGGGAGGCAGCAGUGGGGAAUAUUGCACAAUGGGCGCAAGCCUGAUGCAGCCAUGCCGCGUGUAUGAAGAAGGCCUUAGGGUUGUAAAGUACUUUCAGCGAGGAGGCGUUACUCGCAGAAGAAGCACCGGCUAACUCCGUGCCAGCAGACGCGGUAAUUC